rnacentral:rRNA from 1 species
GUGAGGAAUAUUGGUCAAUGGGCGGGAGCCUGAACCAGCCAAGUCGCGUGAAGGAAGAAGGAUCUAUGGUUCGUAAACUUCUUUUGCAGGGGAAUAAAGUGCAGGACGUGUCCUGUUUUGUAUGUACCCUGAGAAUAAGGAUCGGCUAACUCCGUGCCAGCAGCCGCGGUAAUACGGAGGAUCCGAGCGUUAUCCGGAUUUAUUGGGUUUAAAGGGUGUGUAGGUGGUUUGAUAAGUCAGCGGUGAAAGUUUGCAGCUUAACUGUAAAAAUGCCGUUGAAACUGUCGGACUUGAGUGUAAAUGAGGUAGGCGGAAUGCGUGGUGUAGCGGUGAAAUGCAUAGAUAUCACGCAGAACUCCGAUUGCGAAGGCAGCUUACUAAGCUACAACUGACACUGAAGCACGAAAGCGUGGGGAUCAAACAGGAUUAGAUACCCGAGUAGUCC